rnacentral:pre_miRNA from 1 species
CGGUGCUUCUUUGCUUCCCAUAUCUGUAAUCAGCUUUAUGGAAUGUAAAGAAGUAUGGAG